rnacentral:misc_RNA from 1 species
AAAUUAUAAGAAAUAAUUGUGUUUGCUCGCAAACAAAAAAAAAACCGACUUCAAUUACAUCGACAAGUAAUACAACGUAGAUCGACGAAAAAAUAGUCAAGCAACUACGCGUUAUUAAAGAUUACUCAAAAAGUAGUUAUCAGAUCUCGAUGAAAUUUAUAUGUGACCACAUGAUAAACAUCAGCUUUCGAUUAAAUUAAAAAUUAUCAAAAUCGUUAUGCGGAUUUUCGAGGGUUUCCCUCGAUUUCUCUGGGAUCCCAUCAUC